rnacentral:misc_RNA from 1 species
AACGCACCUUGCGCUCCUUGGUAUUCCGAGGAGCAUGCCUGUUUGAGUGUCGUGAAAUCAUCAACUCCCUUAGCUUUGUUGCGACGGUGAGCUUGGAUUUGGGGAUUUGCUGGCCUUCGGGUUCUGGCUUCCCUUGAAUGCAUUAGCUGGACGUUGAUUUGCAGCAUAUAUGCGGUGUGAUAAUUGUCUUCACUGUGUAGCUCAAGUCGAACUGGCUUCUAAUCGUCCUUCGCUGGACAACACUUUGACCAUUAGACCUCAAAUCAGGUAGGACUACCCGCUGAACUUAA